rnacentral:rRNA from 1 species
AUACGUAGGAUGCGAGCGUUAUCCGGAUUUAUUGGGUUUAAAGGGUGCGCAGGCGGGCGAUUAAGUCAGCGGUGAAAGGCUCGGGCUCAACCGGAGCAGUGCCGUUGAUACUGGUUGUCUUGAAUGCGGUCAAGGCCGGCGGAAUGUGGCGUGUAGCGGGGAAAUGCAUAGAUAUGCCACAGAACACCGAUAGCGAAGGCAGCUGGCCGGGCCUGCAUUGACGCUCAGGCACGAAAGCGUGGGGAUCGAACAGGAUUAGAUACCCUGGUAGUCCACGCUGUAAACGAUGGACACUCGUUGUCGGCGACAGACAGUCGGCGGCCAAGCGAAAGUGAUAAGUGUCCCACCUGGGGAGUACGGUCGCAAGGCUGAAACUCAAAUGAAUUGGCGGGG